GACGAACGCUGGCGGCGUGCUUAACACAUGCAAGUCGAACGGAAAGGCCCUGCUUUUGUGGGGUGCUCGAGUGGCGAACGGGUGCGUAACACGUGAGUAACCUGCCCUUGACUUUGGGAUAACUUCAGGAAACUGGGGCUAAUACCGGAUAGGAGCUCCUGCUGCAUGGUGGGGGUUGGAAAGUUUCGGCGGUUGGGGUUGGACUCGCGGCUUAUCAGCUUGUUGGUGGGGUAGUGGCUUACCAAGGCUUUGACGGGUAGCCGGCCUGAGAGGGGGGACGGCCACAUUGGGACUGAGGGACGGCCCAGAGUCCAACAGUGGGCAGCAGUGGGGAAUAUUGCACAAUGGGCGGAAGCCGGAGGCAGCAACGCCGCGUGCGGGAUGACGGCCUUCGGGUUGUAAACCGCUUUCGCCUGUGACGAAGCGUGAGUGACGGUAAUGGGUAAAGAAGCACCGGCUAACUACGUG
rnacentral:rRNA from 1 species